UACGUAGGGGGCAAGCGUUGUCCGGAAUUAUUGGGCGUAAAGAGCUCGUAGGCGGUCUGUUGCGUCCGCUGUGAAAGCCCAGGGCUUAACCCUGGGCUGGCAGUGGAUACGGGCAGACUAGAGGUAGGUAGGGGAGAAUGGAAUUCCCGGUGUAGCGGUGAAAUGCGCAGAUAUCGGGAGGAACACCGGUGGCGAAGGCGGUUCUCUGGGCCUUGCCUGACACUGAGGAGCGAAAGCGUGGGGAGCGAACAGG
rnacentral:rRNA from 1 species